AGACUGAAGAUGACGAAAAGCUGAAAAAAAGAAAGGAGAGAUUUGGCAUUGUUACAAGUUCAGCUGGAGCAGGAACCACAGAAGACACAGAGGCAAAGAAGAGAAAAAGAGCAGAACGUUUUGGCCUUGUCUGACGAUCUUCCUCUUAGUAUUUACCUGUUCAGGGUGUAUGUUUUAAACAUUCUUAUUCUUCAUCUCUAAGGAAGAAUACAGUUUCUCCCUCAAACAAAUCUUGAUUUUGUAUUUCAAAGCUAGCUGUUGAGUUGUGCUGUUUGCACCCUACCCCACACUCUUUUGGACUU